UCCUGUUCCUAAGUACUAGUGCCGCAGGAGUGAUUAGGUUGGGUUAGAAAUUACCGUAUCUCCUGCUGCUCAAGUGCUUAUCAAUGGGU
rnacentral:pre_miRNA from 1 species